ACGUGGAUAACCUACCUAUAAGACUGGGAUAACUUCGGGAAACCGGAGCUAAUACCGGAUAACAUAUUGAACCGCAUGGUUCAAUAGUGAAAGGCGGCUUUGCUGUCACUUAUAGAUGGAUCCGCGCCGUAUUAGCUAGUUGGUAAGGUAACGGCUUACCAAGGCAACGAUACGUAGCCGACCUGAGAGGGUGAUCGGCCACACUGGAACUGAGACACGGUCCAGACUCCUACGGGAGGCAGCAGUAGGGAAUCUUCCGCAAUGGGCGAAAGCCUGACGGAGCAACGCCGCGUGAGUGAUGAAGGUCUUCGGAUCGUAAAACUCUGUUAUCAGGGAAGAACAAAUGUGUAAGUAACUGUGCACAUCUUGACGGUACCUGAUCAGAAAGCCACGGCUAACUACGUGCCAGCAGCCGCGGUAAUACGUAGGUGGCAAGCGUUAUCCGGAAUUAUUGGGCGUAAAGCGCGCGUAGGCGGUUUUUUAAGUCUGAUGUGAAAGCCCACGGCUCAACCGUGGAGGGUCAUUGGAAACUGGAAAACUUGAGUGCAGAAGAGGAAAGUGGAAUUCCAUGUGUAGCGGUGAAAUGCGCAGAGAUAUGGAGGAACACCAGUGGCGAAGGCGACUUUCUGGUCUGUAACUGACGCUGAUGUGCGAAAGCGUGGGGAUCAAACAGGAUUAG
rnacentral:rRNA from 1 species